CCUACGGGAGGCAGCAGUAGGGAAUAUUGGGCAAUGGGCGCAAGCCUGACCCAGCGACGCCGCGUGAGGGAUGAAGGUCUUCGGAUUGUAAACCUCUUUCAGUAGGGAAGAAGCGAAAGUGACGGUACCUAAAGAAGAAGCACCGGCUAACUAUGUGCCAGCAGCCGCGGUAAUACAUAGGGUGCAAGCGUUGUCCGGAAUUAUUGGGCGUAAAGAGCUCGUAGGUCGUUUGUCGCGUCGAUUGUGAAAAUCUGAGGCUCAACCUCAGACCUGCAGUCGA
rnacentral:rRNA from 1 species